rnacentral:rRNA from 1 species
CAGCAGCCGCGGUAAUACGUAGGGUGCGAGCGUUAAUCGGAAUUACUGGGCGUAAAGCGUGCGCAGGCGGUUUUGUAAGACAGGCGUGAAAUCCCCGGGCUCAACCUGGGAAUGGCGCUUGUGACUGCAAAGCUAGAGUGCGGCAGAGGGGGAUGGAAUUCCGCGUGUAGCAGUGAAAUGCGUAGAUAUGCGGAGGAACACCGAUGGCGGAGGCAAUCCCCUGGGCCUGCACUGACGCUCAUGCACGAAAGCGUGGGGAGCAAACAGGAUUAGAUACCCCCGUAGUCCCUGUCUCUUAUAC